rnacentral:rRNA from 1 species
UACAGAGGUCUCAACCGUUGUUCGGAUUCAUUGGGCGUAAAGGGUGCGUAGGCGGUCGCGCAAGUCGGAUGUGAAAUCUCAGGGCUCAACCCUGAAACUGCAUUCGAUACUGCGUGGCUCGAGUACUGGAGAGGAGACUGGAAUUUACGGUGUAGCAGUGAAAUGCGUAGAUAUCGAGAGGAACACCUGCGGCGAAGGCGGGUAGCUGGGCCGACACUGACGCUGAGGCGCGAAAGCCAGGGGAGCGAACGGG